GCUAUUGAACUAGAUGGCUGAUCUGGUGUGGCUUGGCUUUGGGUAAGAAGGAUUGGCCUCUGUCUAGUGCCUCACUUUCCUUCUGCGGUUCUGUCUACUGUCCUGGUUUGGAAGAAGUCAAACCAAGCCAGAUCAGCCAUCUAGUUGAGUCUC
rnacentral:pre_miRNA from 1 species